rnacentral:sRNA from 1 species
CAUGUCCGCCCAGGCGCAGAUGCGGGCCCUGUUGGACCAGCUCAUGGGCACGGCUCGGGACGGUGAGUCAGAGCGGCCAACCAGGCGAGGGUCUGGGGUGUGAGUAAGGCGAGGCCGCCGGGCGGCCUGAGGCGGGGGCCGCGAUCGUCUGCGCCUGCGCCUGCGCGGGGCACCUCUCCUCCUCCCCCGCGCGCCGACCGCAGGCACCGGGCCUUUGUCUAAGCCGGUUGGUCUCUGAGGCGGCCGUGGGUCCAGGUCGGGCUCCUCUCUGGGAGUCUGCGCCAUGGAUGGGGCUUCAGCCUCCUGCCUAUUUGCCGUCCUGCUACUUCCUCCCCGGCGGGCGCCGCGGCUCCGUGCCCCUCCGCGAACUGUGGAGUCGGCGGAGGCCUGGAAUCAGCGUGGGCUCCAGGUCGCUGGCAGCCGGGUGGCAGAACUCUUCCGAGGCUCCUUGGGAAGAAGCUACACCCGAGGGAGCCGGAUGGGCCUCGAAACCCUGGCCCGCUCUGGUUCUGGACCAUUGCAAGGGGAGCUGUAAACUGAGCUUUUCUAACGUUCAGUGUAUCUUUGCCUGCCUACAUCAAUCUGCAAGGGAGUUGCAGAAAGCCUCAUGUUCAUCGAGCCGUGAGUCACAACCAAUUUCUAAGCUGUUAUAACAAAAAAGUGUUUGCUUUUUUUCACAAGUAACUUUAAAAGUGUAGUUUAGAAAGAAAACAUUUUCAAUAAAA